rnacentral:lncRNA from 1 species
GCUGCUGUUAUCUCAUACUGGAAACAGAAACUUGUCCUUGGAAUGUGAGGUCCUUCACUAACAUCAACAAAGUCACCAAACCUAUGUAAUACUACAAUUCCUUCCAUGUUCUGAGAAGCUUUCUGCUCUAUUAGCUCCAUUUUAUACUUGUUAUGCUGAAACAUUUCACGCGCCACUUUUGCUUCAACAUGCAGUGUUUCAAAUGGCAGGUCUUUAUCAAUUAGCUUAUUGGCAUCCCUUGUAAGAGAACGGAAGUUGUCUUUUGCUGGUUUCCAGUCAUUCAGUCUAUUGUCCAAAAUUACAUCAUAACAGAAAGCUCCAGAGAUCACUGGCACUUCUGGAGAUUUAACCAGAGUCACAGAGUACUCAUCUUUGAACGCCCGCUUUAACACAUUUGCCAUGAUCAUGGCACAGGAACG